UACAAAAAAUAACUGCAUUUCAAUUUUAAAUGUAAGUUUUAAGAAAAGUUUAUACAUUUAAUUGGCUCUGAUCGAGGGCAAUAUUAGCCUGACGAAAUACUACCAAUUGGCACAAAAUGCCAAGCAAUUCCAAUGCGCAGGCCCAUAACAAAAGAGCUUAGAAUGAUGACUUUGGUGUUGUGCUUGAAGUUAGGGGUGGCUUUGCACUAAAAUCCAAGAAUAUAAAUAUACAUUUGCAUGUACUUAUGUGUGUAUCAAUGUUCAUGUUACAGCCACAGCAGACUGCAUGGCUACGGAUAAUAGUUGACACUCGAAACAUACUAUAAUAAUUAUAGAACAAAGAUAAGAGGGCUGCGAUUCCAUAAACUAAAUAGAACAUAUUGCGGUGUUUAUUUAGUUAAAUAAGUCAUUAAAAUCCUCAUACUGCGUUAUGGGGUUCGGGUCUAAACAAAAUUUUCCAUACAUGUUAAGGUACUAAAUUAUGAUUGUACGUGUUCUACACUUAAUAAUAAUAAACAGAAAAAAAAAGAAAUCAUUGAAUUCAUAUUUGCAAGUUUAAUAAAGUCUCGUCUGCUUAAAUAAUAA